rnacentral:misc_RNA from 1 species
AAGCCCGUACCAGCCACAAAGAAGACCAUAGAUAUUGCAACCCAGAAGUGAGGUAAUGUCUCCCAUAUCGAUUCAUCAUUCAUGCUUUCUUCUUCUCCAGGCAUUAGAGCCCUACACAUUCUGAAAUUGUCUAUUAGAAUAAUUAUUUCAAAUGCCAACAAAGGAAUGAAGACAAUCUUCAAGUUUACAGCUGCACCACCAUGAACAUAAGGACUCUCAAGAUAAAUACAAAGAAGCAGUUCAAAUGCAAUGAGCAAUGGUGUUGCUACGACUGUGUGGCAUGGUGCCCAAUGACGAUUAUGUGGAACUGAUGGAGCAGGUAAUGAAAAUCUUCCUCGAGCAAUAACUCCAUGGAACAACCAGAGAGGAAAGAAAAUCAACCACCAAGAGUAGGAGACGACGUGGUCAAGCUUGAAUACGAGCAAAAGGGUGAAAAAGAAGAGAAGACUAUGAGCAGCCAGGGCCUGCACGGACUUCAA